rnacentral:rRNA from 1 species
UACAGAGGUCUCAAGCGUUGUUCGGAUUCAUUGGGCGUAAAGGGUGCGUAGGUGGUGCCGUAAGUCGGGUGUGAAAUCUCGGAGCUUAACUCCGAAACUGCAUUCGAUACUGCCGUGCUUGAGGACUGGAGAGGAGACUGGAAUUUACGGUGUAGCGGUGAAAUGCGUAGAUAUCGUAAGGAAGACCAGUGGCGAAGGCGGGUCUCUGGACAGUUCCUGACGCUGAGGCACGAAGGUCAGGGGAGCAAACGGG